rnacentral:rRNA from 1 species
UGGGGAAUAUUGCGCAAUGGACGAAAGUCUGACGCAGCGACGCCGCGUGUGGGAUGAAGCUCUUCGGGGUGUAAACCACUGUUGCCCGGGACGAACCUCCCCUUUCGAGGGGACUGACGGUACCGGGUGAGGAAGCACCGGCUAACUCUGUGCCAGCAGCCGCGGUAAUACAGAGGGUGCGAGCGUUGUCCGGAAUCACUGGGCGUAAAGGGUGAGUAGGUGGCUGGGUAAGCGUGUGGUGAAAGCUCGGGGCUCAACCCCGAGUCUGCCGUGCGAACUGCCUAGCUUGAGCCAUGUAGAGGCAGGCGGAAUUCCGGGUGUAGCGGUGGAAUGCGUAGAGAUCCGGAAGAACACCGGUGGCGAAGGCGGCCUGCUGGGCAUGAGCUGACACUGAAUCACG